rnacentral:lncRNA from 1 species
UGGAAUGUUGCAAACUUGACAUAAUCCUCUGGAUGCACAUUGCUACACUCGAAAUGCUUGUUCAUAUCACGGAUCCAAUCUUCCGCGUCAAACGGCUGGUCGCAAGAAGUGAACGUCCUAGGCUGGUUUGACAGGAACUGACUCAGACUGGCGAAGUGAUUGCCACCCUGCUGGAAAUUGCCUUGCUGAUGAUUGGCUCUCUCCUGGAUCAACUGCAACAGCAUCUGAGUAUUUGCAUUGGUAGCUGCCAUCAUCGCCUGCCAGGCCUCUGCAGGAGGAGGCGGCGGUGGUGGCGGAGGAGGAGGUGGAGGAGGCAUAUCCUCACGCGCUGGGGUCUGACGAGUUGGUGGAGCCAUCCUGAAGACGGAC